AUUGAACGCUGGCGGCAGGCUUAACGCAUGCAAGUCGAGCGGAGAUGAGGUGCUUGCACCUUAUCUUAGCGGCGGACGGGUGAGUAAUGCUUAGGAAUCUGCCUAUUAGUGGGGGACAACAUUCCGAAAGGAAUGCUAAUACCGCAUACGUCCUACGGGAGAAAGCAGGGGAUCUUCGGACCUUGCGCUAAUAGAUGAGCCUAAGUCGGAUUAGCUAGUUGGUGGGGUAAAGGCCUACCAAGGCGACGAUCUGUAGCGGGUCUGAGAGGAUGAGCCGCCACACUGGGACUGAGACACGGCCCAGACUCCUACGGGAGGCAGCAGUGGGGAAUAUUGGACAAUGGGGGGAACCCUGAUCCAGCCAUGCCGCGUGUGUGAAGAAGGCCUUAUGGUUGUAAAGCACUUUAAGCGAGGAGGAGGCUACUGAGACUAAUACUCUUGGAUAGUGGACGUUACUCGCAGAAUAAGCACCGGCUAACUCUGUGCCAGCCGCCGCAGUAAUAC
rnacentral:rRNA from 1 species